rnacentral:rRNA from 1 species
UACGGAGGGUGCAAGCGUUAAUCGGAAUUACUGGGCGUAAAGCGCGCGUAGGCGGUUUGGUAAGUCGGAUGUGAAAGCCCUGGGCUCAACCUGGGAAUUGCAUUCGAUACUGCCUGACUAGAGUAUGGUAGAGGGAAGUGGAAUUUCCGGUGUAGCGGUGAAAUGCGUAGAUAUCGGAAGGAACACCAGUGGCGAAGGCGACUUCCUGGGCCAAUACUGACGCUGAGGCGCGAAAGCGUGGGUAGCAAACAGG